rnacentral:rRNA from 1 species
GCUCAAAUUUGAAAUCUAGCACUUUCAGUGUUCGAGUUGUAAUUUGAAGAAGGUAACUUUGGAAUUGGCUCUUGUCUAUGUUCCUUGGAACAGGACGUCACAGAGGGUGAGAAUCCCGUGCGAUGAGAUGUCCAAUUCUAUGUAAAGUGCUUUCGAAGAGUCGAGUUGUUUGGGAAUGCAGCUCUAAGUGGGUGGUAAAUUCCAUCUAAAGCUAAAUAUUGGCGAGAGACCGAUAGCGAACAAGUACAGUGAUGGAAAGAUGAAAAGAACUUUGAAAAGAGAGUGAAAAAGUACGUGAAAUUGUUGAAAGGGAAGGGCUUGAGAUCAGACUUGGUAUUUUGUGUUCCUUAUCCUUCUUGGAUUAGGUUCCUCACAGCUUACCGGGCCAGCAUCGGUUUGGAUGGCAGGAUAAUGACAUUGGAAUGUAGCUUUGCUUCGGUGAAGUGUUAUAGACUUUGUUGAUACUGCCUAUCUAGACCGAGGACUG